CUUCCGCCCAACUGAACGCGUGCUGCCGGCCUGUUCAGGCCUUCCGGCUUCCGCUCUGUACCGUGCAUUUCCCAAUUCCCACGACAAUUCCUUCCGAACAAGCACGCCGAUGGUGAUCCAUCAAUCGAUCCCAGUUCCAUUUCCUACGAUUGUUCUCUAGCGACCGCGUCCCGGACGCAAAUUGCUGGUCGUAAGAUGUGCGCCUCGGUUGAUAGAGAGCGCCGCCAACCUGCUCGACGGAAUGCCUUGCCGAUUGGUCAUGGCUCAUAGGGGUUUUGGGGGCAGGGGAGCUGGCUGCUGCGGCCGUUGCUACUUCUCAAGCAAGCAAGCUACGGCAUCGCACUGGAAGUUUGCUGCUUCUGUGUCAAACACCAAGGAAUGCCCUGCUCUCUGUCUGUUUCGUGGCUGACAGGAUAUUCUGAUCUUGCUUGCUAUGCACUGUAAGAACAUUUCGUUAUCUUUGAAGAGCUGUAAGUUUAACUCGAUGCACUGCAAGGUUUGCUUGAUGAAGCCAUAGAAACAUUAUGAAAGAAUAUUUCUUUUUUUUAUUCCAACUGAAAGAUUUAAUGCCCUGCUACCCUUCAUAUAAUUUGAUCAGGUGAUCUGGUGGCAUCUUGCAGGUGUGUAGAAGCCAAGCCCAUGGCCCGAACAGAUCGCUCGCUUUUCGCCGAAGCCAAGGGUAUGGAGCUCAUAUCAAAGAAGAGAAGGAAAAGGACACGCGUUAGGUCUGAUGCAAUCUUUGGUAAAAGUUGGUUUGUUCUGUACUUCUAUGUCUUUACUAGCAUAUACUUUGCAAGUAACUAUGACUAAAAGAAGAAAUAACUGUGCCAUUUGAAAUCAACUGCGUUGUUACUUUAAUCAGUGCAUCAUCAUUACUAUGAUCGGAUCAACAUGUUAUCGCUUUAAGAUCAUAAUGCUUUUCAUGUGGCAGCUCCUUCUAUGUUGCAUUACCUAUUGCUUAACAGAGAAGUAAAUUUAAGUUUGUUAUUUGUGGUGCCUUUUUUGAUCUAGGAUUUCUAGGCCUAUUUUUUUUCCAUAACUAGCAUGAUAUGAUUGCUCUUUUUUCUAAUGGGAUCCUAAUUUUUAGGUAGCCAACUUGCCUUCCUAGAUGAAAGCCUUUCGGUAGUUAGUUCAUCGGCCCUUUUGCAAGAGCUGAAUACAGAAAUCUGUUAGCUUUCAAAAUAAAAUAGUUGAACGAGCACUUUAGGAAUCUCUCCAAAGAAAAGGCCAAAUCAUGGAAAUUCAUUCCUUCACCCACCUUUAAAUCUCACCCUUUUCUUUUGCAGCAAGGAUCAUCUUGUGGGCUCCCUUGCCCACUUCACAAGCAGGGAUCUUAGCAUAAUCUUGCAUCACUUUAUAAUUAUUUCUAUUCUUGUUUUCUGCAUCUAAGUGCUCAAGACUCAACAACAAUAUAUUUGCAGCUAAGGUGGCCCAAUCUUUACUUUAAAAGAAGUUAGGUGCUGUUUUUUUCUCUUUCUACUUUGGUACUGAUAAAAUGCUAUCCUUGGACCAUGACCAGUCCAUGUAUGCACAGCAUGAAGAAACCAAACCUGUUGGAUCCCAAAAAAAACUAGCACUGAUGCUUUAAGAUUCCCCCAUCUUUGCAUUCUGCAGUAAAGCAGGCAAAGCAUUGGAUGUUGCUAGCCUACAUGGAGAAAUGUGAGGAAAGAGGCUAUUGAAACUUGGUGCGGAUCCUUUAAGUUUGAAUGGGUAGCUUUGGUGGCCUUGGAAGAUUCAAAGCGAAAAGCGUGCUCCUUGCAAGAAGGGCAGGCACAACAAAUAAAAAGCGUGCGAAAGCACAAAGCCUUGCAUCGUACUGUUGUCUGCUGGUUACCGCAACCUGACCCUGUUUUCACCCCUACCUAUGAACGGUUCAGAUUUGGUUUUACUAGAGGCUGGAACAGAGGAGGAUGGCAACAAGGGUCUAAAGCAAGGGUUUGGUUCUUGCUGUUGCUCUUAUCCCCUACAUGGCCGCUUUAGGCUUGUCUCUUGGAACAGACGAUGGGCUCUCGCUCUCCCAUCCAAUGACUUUGCCAAAAUCUACCUGUCAGGGUCUCAGAACCUUCUAUGAGCAGCCUUAGACAUGCCUCCCUUGUCCCUUUGUGCUUUGGGGCCCGGCGUGGCCUUGGGCUAUAUCUACAGACAGGACAUUGCUGUGACUGAUGGUUUGUACUAGGUGCAGCGAAGCCAUUAGAGCCCAGGCAUCAGCAGGAGUUGCAUGUCUCCGGCUGAGGAGCAGCAUCAUCAGCAGCAGCAGCGACAUGGGGAGCACCAGAGGCUGGUCGUCGAGGCUCCUGGCGGUCUCCGCCUUCGUGUGCCUCCUGGCUGCGCUGCGCCCUCCUGCCAUGGUGAACGGCCUGAGGAGAGAGGAGCUCGUCGUCCUCGGCCGUGAUCCGGCGCCGGCGCCGGCGCCAGCGGAGGCGCCUGCCGCAGGCGGCGCCAAUGCCGCCGGCGUUGAUGCGGCGGGGCCGAAGCAGUUCGUGGCUCCUGCCGCGACGACGAUCGGCGCGGUGGAGAUGAGCAAGUGGAGGGUCCGGCGGGGCUCGGACCCCAUACACAACCGGAGCUGACGACGCUCCGGCCGCUUCUUGAUGUGCUCUGAAGUUUGGACACGUCUCCUUUUGUAGCGAGAGUGUAAUCUCAUCUGUUGCCAGAGAGAAAUUCUGCAGGAGAUUCGAGGGCAACGAAAAACAAAUGAACAGGAUGGUUAGUUUCUUCGCUUUAGCUGUAGGAGGAUAGCAAGGAGGUAGAUGGAUGCAAUGUAGCUCAUUCAGUUGGAUUGUAACAUAGUAAUUUCUCAUCAGAGGGUAAGAUGGGAUCAUAUCCUUUUUUUUCAAUGGUGACAGGUAGAUGAGUAGAUGCUCCUGAUCUUGGAGCUCUUUCAGGCAUUCCAGAUUUCCAGACGUCCACAUUAGGGCUUGUUUGUUUGAGUAGUAGUGGAUUGAAGUGGAAUGUGAGGGAUUGGAGGGGAAAUUAGUUUAUUUUAGACUCAA